AAUGAAACCUGAGCCCGGCCAGGCCUGUGGUCUGUGCUCCUCCUCCUUCUUUCUCUUUAAAGAGCAGCCUCAGGCAGGCAGACAAGAGUCUGUGGGGGGACCUCGCCCGCCUCACCUCAUGGCAUCAGCCCCACGCGGUGGCUGAGGCAGGAGAUCGCUCCUUCUUCGACAUCAGUGAGGCUUCCUGGAGGCAGCUGGCCCUGGCGGCCCCCGGGAGGGGAGGAUUACAUCAAACACUGGGCAAUAUCAUCACGCAGCCAGUCAACUGAAGAGGCGUGAUCGAAAUCAAAGACUCCUGAGGCAGGACCCAAAUAGAACACAGCACUGAAGAUUAAUGCUCUACCAUGCUAGCAAGGUCUGCCCUUCCCGAGAGAGAAGGCUGGGAUUGCUGGUGAGUGAAGGCCCCAGGAACAGCCCUCAGCUAAGGAUGAAUGGAUUGGAAGAUCAUCAGCCCUACUAUCUCAUCCCUCAGGGAAGGGUUAAACUCUGGGACAUGUACUCCUCCAUCUCCUAGAGGGUCCCACAGCUCAGUGACCUGUCUUAGGGA